rnacentral:rRNA from 1 species
CAUUACUGACACUGAGGAACGAAAGCAUGGGUAGCGAAGAGGAUUAGAUACCCUCGUAGUCCAUGCCGUAAACGAUGUGUGUUAGACGUUGGAAAUUUAUUUUCAGUGUCGCAGCGAAAGCAAUAAACACACCGCCUGGGGAGUACGACCGCAAGGUUAAAACUCAAAUGAAUUGACGGGGACCCGCACAAGUAGUGGAGCAUGUGGUUUAAUUCGAAGAUACGCGCAGAACCUUACCAACACUUGACAUGUUCGUCGCGACUUUAAGAGAUUAAAGUUUUCGGUUCGGCCGGACGAAACACAGGUGCUGCAUGGCUGUCGUCAGCUCGUGUCGUGAGAUGUUGGGUUAAGUCCCGCAACGAGCGCAACCCUUACUUUUAGUUGCCAUCAUUAAGUUGGGCACUCUGAAAGAACUGCCAGUGAUAAGCUGGAGGAAGGUGGGGAUGACGUCAAGUCCUCAUGGCCCUUACGUGUUGGGCUACACACGUGCUACAAUGGUAUUUACAAUAGGAAGCAAAACGGCAACGUUAAGCAAAUCCUUAAAAAAUACCUCAGUUCGGAUUGCACUCUGCAACUCGAGUGCAUGAAGCUGGAAUUACUAGUAAUCGUGGAUCAGCGUGCCACGGUGAAUGCGUUCCCGGGUCUUGUACACACCGCCCGUCACACCAUGGGAGUUGGUUCUACCUUAAGGCAAGGUUUUAAACCCUUGACCACGGUAUAGUCAGCGACUGGGGUGAAGUCGUAACAAGGUAACCGUA